rnacentral:rRNA from 1 species
UAGGGAAUAUUGGGCAAUGGGCGGGAGCCUGAUCCAGCCAUGCCGCGUGCAGGAAGAAGGCGUAUGCGUUGUAAACUGCUUUUAUACGGGAAGCGGUACCGUAUGAAUAAGCACCGGCUAACUCCGUGCCAGCAGCCGCGGUAAUACGGAGGGUGCAAGCGUUGUCCGGAUUUAUUGGGUUUAAAGGGUGCGUAGGCGGCCGAUUAAGUCAGCGGUGAAAGUCUGUGGCUCAACCAUAGAAGCGCCGUUGAUACUGGUCGGCUUGAGUGCCGUAUGGGUACAUGGAAUUGAUGGUGUAGCGGUGAAGUGCAUAGAUACCAUCAGGAACACCGAUAGCGUAGGCAUUGUACUGUGCGGCAACUGACGCUGAGGCACGAAAGCAUGGGUAGCGAACAGGAUUAGAUACCCUAGUAGU